rnacentral:rRNA from 1 species
UGGGGAAUUUUGGACAAUGGGCGCAAGCCUGAUCCAGCAAUGCCGCGUGUGUGAAGAAGGCCUUCGGGUUGUAAAGCACUUUUGUCCGGAAAGAAAUCCUCUGGGUUAAUACCCCGGGGGGAUGACGGUACCGGAAGAAUAAGCACCGGCUAACUACGUGCCAGCAGCCGCGGUAAUACGUAGGGUGCAAGCGUUAAUCGGAAUUACUGGGCGUAAAGCGUGCGCAGGCGGUGAUGCAAGACCGAUGUGAAAUCCCCGGGCUUAACCUGGGAACUGCAUUGGUGACUGCAUCGCUAGAGUAUGGCAGAGGGGGGUAGAAUUCCACGUGUAGCAGUGAAAUGCGUAGAGAUGUGGAGGAAUACCGAUGGCGAAGGCAGCCCCCUGGGCCAAUACUGACGCUCAUGCACGAAAGCGUGGGGAGCAAACA